CGAAAUGCGAUAAGUAAUGUGAAUUGCAGAAUUCCGUGAAUCAUCGAAUCUUUGAACGCACAUUGCGCCCUCUGGUAUUCCGGGGGCAUGCCUGUCCGAGCGUCAUUGCGAACCCCUCAAGCACGGCUUGUGUGAUGGGCCCUCCCGCGUCUUGGUCGUCAAGACGGGCCCGAAAUGCAGUGGCGGCUUCGCGGUUAUCCGAUCAGCCAGAGCGUAUGGGGACUCUCUCUCUUGUCACACGCCCGCGGCGCGGACCGACGCCUGUCGACCUUUAGUCAUCUUCUCUCGGUUGACCUCGGAUCAGGUAGGGAUACCCGCUGAACUUAAGC
rnacentral:misc_RNA from 1 species